rnacentral:rRNA from 1 species
UACGGAGGGUGCAAGCGUUGUUCGGAAUUAUUGGGCGUAAAGCACGCGUAGGCGGGCUUGUAUGUCAGAUGUGAAAGCCCUUGGCUCAACUGAGGAAGUGCAUCUGAAACUGCAAGUCUUGAGUACGAGAGAGGAGAGUGGAAUUCCCAGUGUAGAGGUGAAAUUCAUAGAUAUUGGGAAGAACACCGGCGGCGAAAGCGGCUCUCUGGCUCGAUACUGACGCUGAGGCGUGAAAGCGUGGGGAGCAAACAGG